GUUAAGUGUGUCGAAAUGGAAUCCGAGCAGUCUGAAGAUACAACGAUGAAACACUGCCCAAGUAUCAACGAUAGGUGGAUGUUUCUUAGACCAAUGGUUAACAGUUGCAAACUGCAUCGUAUUGUCAAGUCUCCACCAGAGAGAAUUCAGGGAACAUCAGAUUGUUCAACCAGAGAACACCAAGUAACCUUCAAUCACAUACAUUUGUUAUGCCCUUCUGAUCAAAAAAAAAAGCUUUUCAGGUGCACCUCUGACCAAAGACAUCUUCAGCUUCUUCUUACACCACAAAGAGGCUUUGCAGACUCUCAAGUAUUAACAGCACCACUACGUAGCAUAGAGGCUGGCACAACUGUUAGACCAAAAACCCAACAAAAGACAAAAAGGACAUAUUCCCACCCUUUUAACUCUCCAAAGCCCACAGAAUUACAGAAAUCUCACCGAAGAUCACGCACUGGUUUUCAGUUCAACCAGUUCCACCCUGAAGGCUCUGCUGCAAAUCCACUGCGAAUUGACUUAGACAGGAGCUGUCUUGAAGAAUGUCCCAAUCUGGCCUUUAUUGGUGAAUUGCAACUUCUGAACCUUCAGCACAACUAUAUCAGGAGAAUCCAACACUUAUCUCAACUCCAACAUCUUAUUUUUUUAAAUUUGUAUGAUAAUCAC
ensembl:lncRNA